CUCUUUGUCUUUCCUGCACCUUCUGCAUACAACAACCAAUUCAUUUCUUCCCAACAAUAAAAGUAACAUAUAAUGACAUUCAAGGCAUAAUCCAAGUUUUGUUAUGCAAUAUUCUAAUAAUAGCUGAGAAAUGCAAAUAUAUUCACUUAAGUACAGGCAAUUCAUUAAGUUUAGAGCUUGAGAUAUAACUCUUUUUAAGAAUCAUCACAUAUAUACUUAGGCUUGAGUAACUACAAUUAUGUCCAGAAGCAUCAUUAUGAUCAUUUACAAUUUACUUAUUCAUGAAGUCAGUCCACAAGAAGUCCAUGAUUGAAAACUUCUUAUUAUAUACUUUUUACAAAAGCAAUUCAUCCAACUGUUUUGUCCAUUGACCUCGUCAUGUGUGUGUUACAGUCACAUGAUGUCCUUAAUUCUUUUGAAUUAGAUCCGUUUGCUCAAUGCAAUCCUAUUUUAUCUCAUUAUCACCAUUGUGUCUUUUUAAUGAUUAAUAUGACCACUGUCAACUAAUUACUAUGAUAAAUUACUCACUUGAGAAUAAACAACUUGUGGUGACAUUCCAUAUUUAUCAAUCCACACAAUGCCAAUGAGAGGAUAUCGUUACUCUUUAAUCGAGCUAUGAAUUCUAUUGUUGCUAGUAAAGUCAUGAUAUACACAAGUCAUAUACCCAACAUAUUGACUAUUGGAUUGAUCAUCUUUAGAGCAUAAGCCUCCACUUAUAUCAAAGCACAUGACUUAAAUACGCAUGAUCAGUGAAUAACUUAGGAUUUAGGUAAGUCACACCAUGAACGUCACCAGUGAAUCAAUUCACAAAUAGAUUCAGAAUUAAUUCAACUUGGGUCCUGUCCACAAUAUCUUUUAAGUUAAAUACAAUAAAUUUAUACAUCUAUAUAUAAAUUUUAGUUUAUAUUAUUAAUAAUUAAAAGCAUAUAAAUUAGUUUAUAAUUAUAAUCAAUAUUAUCAUUGUAAACUCUAAAAUAUAUAAACAUUUUCAACACUCUCUAACAUAUAAUUUAUGCAAAUUUCGAGUACAUAAAUAACACUUUAUGUAUUUUUAUUAUUAAUUUAUAAUAUUUUGUAAUUUAUUUGGAAAUGUGUUAAUUUAGUUAAAUUUAUACUAAAUACAUAAUUUUUUUUGAGGGAAUAAAUCAGCUGAGGGAAAUACAACAGAAUUUUGGUUGUUUUAAAGUUCAGACAGGUACAACUUGAAGCAUUUUGAUCCAACAUUAUUAGGCUUUAAAGUUACCUUAAAAGUAGAUAGAGGCCCAGAGUUGUCCAGAAGGAAGCCCAGAACUGUCUACCAGGAAGUCCAACUGUCCUUGAAGACCACUUCUCUACUAAUCAGGGACGAUGACAACCACUACAAAAAAUAGCAGUCCACAACCGGCAAUACAUCCUCCAUCACUCAAAGGUCGACCAUUCUAGUUCCAAAAAUAGUAAAUUCAAACUUCACUCUCCCUUAAUCAAGGACGACAAGCUUUCCCCUUAAUUUAAGCCUCAACCGCCAACAAUAUUGCUAAAAAUAGCAGUCCAACACCACGCCUUCUCCACCACUUAAGGGACGACAACCACCCUUGCUAAAAAUAGCUAUGUCGCCACCCAUUUCUCCACACAUCAAGGGACGGUUCAACUAUGAAGGAAAUUAAGGAAUUCCCUUGCUAAAAAUAGCAAGGGACGUUGGAGGCCUAUGAGCAUAAAUAGGGCAUCAAAGAGAGGAAAAGGAUAUAUUAGAUUUCAGAGAAAAAAAAUCUAAAAGUGUCAUCCUUUGUUUUCCUUACGGCUUGCUAAGAGUUUUCACGCCAAAAAAUAGGGCAAAACUCUUGCCGAGGGUGAGACUAAGAAGCAUAAACUUGAGAUCAUUAAGGUGAAAUUGACAUGGAGAAGAGGAGGAGAGCCACCAUGAGAAGUCGCAAGAAGCAAUCGCAGAUAACCUCAUGCAUUUCAACUAUUUUCUUUUUUUAUUGUGCAGUGGCCAUGGAUAAUCCUCCUCUGCUUUUCUUCUUCCCUUUCUAUUUAUUGUUAAUUGUUGCUACCUGUGUUGACAAACAUGUUUGCAUCUCAUCUUUAUGUUUUUCAAUUUAAUAAUCAUGGCUUAAUUUUGUUUAGUUAAAAUGGAUAUGAAUCUUUGAUUUGAGUUGAUUGAUUUUUAUAUUAUGAAUGUUUGUGCAAAUGAUUGUUUCAUUAAUUUAGGUUUAAUUAUUGUUAGUACUUAUGAGUGUAAAAUCAAUAUUUGUAGGUUCAUGAAUUAGCUAUUUUAUCUGAAAAAGAGGUAAUAGGUAAUAGACAAAAGAUUUAGAUGGUGAAUAUCAUGUUGAUGUCAAAAGAUGAUUGUUGUAUGCAUGAAUUGUAUAAAAUGCCCGAAAAUGUGAUCUCAAGGUUAGUUUGACAUAGACAUAUGUAAGAUAACUAAGAAAUAUAAUAAAAUUUCUAAAAAAGCCUAUGCCUUAAGAAGAAAUAAGUUUAAUGAAUUUUAUAUUGCCAUGAAACAUUCUUAAUAUAUUUCCUAAUAAGC
rnacentral:lncRNA from 1 species